CCUACGGGAGGCAGCAGUGAGGAAUAUUGGUCAAUGGACGAGAGUCUGAACCAGCCAAGUAGCGUGAAGGAUGACUGCCCUAUGGGUUGUAAACUUCUUUUAUAAAGGAAUAAAACGAGGCACGUGUGCCUUUUUGCAUGUACUUUAUGAAUAAGGAUCGGCUAACUCCGUGCCAGCAGCCGCGGUAAAUACGGAGGAUCCGAGCGUUAUCCGGAUUUAGUGGGUUUAAAGGGAGCGUAGAUGGGUUGUUAAGUCAGUUGUGAAAGUUUGCGGCUCAAACGUAAAAUUGCAAUUGAUACUGGCAGUCUUGAGUACCGUUGCAGUAUGCGGAAUUCGUGGUGUAGCGGUGAAAUGCUUAGAUAUCACGCAGAACCCCGAUUGCGAAGGCAGCUUACUAAACUGUGACUGACAUUGAUGCUCGAAAGUGUGGGUAUCAAACAGGAUUAGAUACCCCAGUAGUC
rnacentral:rRNA from 1 species